AUUGAAACAUCGGUUCCCAUAUGAUCACCGAAGUUAAGCAACGUUGAAUCUAGUCAGUACCUAGAUGCGUGACAACAUGGGAAUACCAGGUGCUGUAAG